GCCCUGGGCUGCCCUCGAGCAGCGCGCUGUCACAGCGGGGUUAGCAGUUACAAGCCACAGUCUCUCUUCUGCGACCCUCCUUGCCUCCACAGCUCCGCUUGUCUCCGAGGAUCCCCUUCCAGGGCUGGACCGCCACCCCUCCACCCUGGCAACUACGUCUUGGGGGCCUUAUCGGUGAUCACCCACCUCCACAUUCCAAGACCCACCGAACGCUUCAGCGACACCUUAGGAUCCAGAAAUCAGUACUCCUUUCUCCUCGCCUCCACUUUAGUCUAGCCGCCUUCAGUCUCCUGGGGGUCCAAUAUCUUCCUUGGGAAUCUCCCGCCCCCUUUGUGUCCCCUCCUCCUUCCUCAGUCCCUCCUCUGGCUGCGCUUCUACCCCUGGGCGGAGUUCGGCCGGCCCAGACCCGGUGAUAAAAAGAUUGCUGAGUGGCCGCAGCUGUGGCCAGUGGCAUCUAGUCCCUGGGUGAGUGAGGAAGCGCGGGUGGGAAGGUGCCACCAAGGGAAGCUGGAGCUCUACUGCUGGUCUCUUCCCAGCCCUGAGCCCCUGCGUUCUUUGCUCGAGUUGGUGUAAAACGGAAGCCCAUGGCAGGCAGGGGUAACUUGUUUGUUUUAAAGUUCUCAGGUAAGUGCAACUUCUUAAUUCUCAAUUCCUUACAUCCUUUAAUCUUUUGGGUUUCUCAAGGGGUAGCUGGGCUGCGGUCUCACAGAUAAAGGGCAAAGUGGCCAGACAAGCACCUUGGACUUUGGGUGGUCACCAUAUGACAAAGCUGGUUUGGGGCACUGGAUUCCUGUGUGCAGAGUUCAGGCUCAAACCCAGGCUUCCAGGACCCUGGCCUCCCAUGGAGGGCAGUGCUGGUAACUUUUUUAUUUAUUUAUUAAAAAAAUUUUUUUUUGCUUUUUAGGGCUGCACCUGUGGCAUAUGGAUGUUCUCAGGCUAGGGGCGAAUCAGAGCUGCAGCUGCCAGCCUACGUCACAGCAACACAAGAUCUGAGCUGCUUUUACGACCUACACCACAGCUCGUGGCAAUGCUGGAUCGUGAACCCACUGAGCGAGGCCAGGGAUGGAACCUGCAACCCCAUGGACACUAUUUGGGUUCAUUACAGCUGAGCCACAACGGGAAUUCCAUCGUGCUGGUAACUGUGGUAUGUGUUUUCUUCCACACUCCCCCCACCCCCAACCCUGCCCCUCUGUUGCAUGCAGAAGUUCCCUGGCCAGGUUUCAGACCCAAGCCGCAUUAGUGACAAUGCUGGAUCCUUAAGCCAGUGAGCCACUGGGGAACUCACCCUUCCUUCCUUCUUCCAUACCCAUGGCAUAUGGAACUUCCCUGGCUAGGGAUCGAGUCCAAGCCGCAUCCGUUGGAGAUGCUCCAGGUUGGAGAUUGAACUGGCAACACCACAGAGACAAGCUGGAUUGUUAACCCACUGUGCCACAGCAGAAACUCCCUAUUUCUUAAUUUAAAAAUCACAGCUACACACACACACACAAAAGAGAGAACUUGAAUUACUGGGUCACAUGAUGAUCCUGUCUUUCACUUUUUUUUUUUUUUGCUUUUUAGGGUCACACCAGCAGCAUAUGGAGGUUCCCAGGCAAGGGUUGAAUGGGAGCUAUAGCUGCUGGCCUACAUCACAGCCACAGCAACGCGGGAUCUGAGCCAUGUCUGCCACCUACACCACAGCUCAUGGCAACGCCUGAUCCUUAACCCACUGAAUGAGGCCAAGAAUCGAACCUGCGUCCUCAUGGAUGUAGUCAGAUUUAUUAACCGCUGAGCCAUGCCUUUUUUUGAAAAGGGCAAAACAUUUUAUUUUUUAAAAAUUUUUGGAGUUCCCUGGUGGCCUCACUGGAUAAGGAUCUGUCAUUUUCACUACCAUGGCUCUGGUCACUGCUGUGGUGGGGGUUCAGUCCCUGGCCCAGGAACUUCCCCCUGCCAUGGGCACAGCCAAAACACUUAUUUUUGUACAAUUUUUAUUAACGUUUACUUUUGAUUUCCCCAUGUUGUACAAUACAUCCUUACACCCAGUAGUUUGUCCCUCCCAUUCCCCAGCCCCCAUAUUGCCCCUCCCCCCACUGUAUCCACUAGUUCUUUGUAUCUGUGAGUCUGCUUUUUUUCUAGUUUGUUGUGCUUUUUAGAUGCUACAUGUAAGGAAUGUCAUACAGUAUUUAUUUUUCUCUGAUUUAUUUCACUUAGCGUAAUGCCUUCCAAGUUGAUCCAUGGUGCUGUAAAUGGCAAAAUUCUGUUCUUUUUUGGCGGCCGAGUAUAGUGUAUGUUUGUGUAUAUGUACCACAGCUUCUUUAUCCAUUCCUGUGUUGAUGAACACUUGCAUUGCUUCCACGUCUUGGCUAUUGUAAACAGGGCUGCUGUGAACAUUGGGGGUGCAUGUAUCUUUUUGAAUUAGAGUUUCCAUCUUUUCCUUAUGCAAAGAUUGAGAUUGCUGUAUCAUACGGAAACUCUAUUUUUAGUAUUUUAAGGAAUCUCCGUACUGUUUUGCACAGUGGUGCACCAAUUUACAUUCCCACCAACAGUGUAAGAGGGUUCCCUUUUCUCCACAUCCUUGCCAACAUUGGUUAUUUGUAGAGUUUGGAUGCUAACUAUGCUGACAGGUGUGGGGUGAUAAUCUUAUUGUGGUUUUGAUUUGCAUUUCUCUGAUGAUUAUUGAUGUCAAGGAUCUUUUCAUGUGCCUGUUGACCCUGUGUUUAAUUUCUUUUUUAUUUCUUUUGCUUUUUAUGGCCGCACCCGCGGCAAGCGGAAGUUCCCAGCUACAGCUCUGAUUUGACCCCUAGCCUGGGAACCUCCAUAUGCCGCAGGAGCGGCCCAAAAAAUAGCAAAAAGACAAAAAACAAAAAAAAGAACCACAUUUGAGGAGUUACCUUGUGACUCAGUGGAUUAAGGAUCUGGCGUUGUCACUGCUGUGGCAUGGAUUUGAUCCCGGCCCAGGAAUUUCUGCAUGCUGUGGGUGCAAACCUAAAAAAAAAAAAAAAAAAAAGAACUAAAAUUGAAAAUGCAGGAGCUCCCACUGUGGUGCAAUGGGUUAAGAACCUGACAGGAUGCGGGUUCAAUCCCAGGCCUCACUCAGUGGGUUAACGAUUUGGCAUUGCUGCAAGCUGUGAUGUAGGCCUGCAGCUGCAGCUACAAUUUGACCCCUAGCCUGGGAACUUCCAUGUGCCACAGGUGUGGCCCUCAAAAGAAAAAAAAAAAA
ensembl:lncRNA